UGACAGAAAGGGAAGGGUCAGGAAUGGCUCCACAAGGUGGGGCCUGAGCGAGUGCAAGGGUGGGGUUCCUGUCAACUAAAAUAUGAAAAAGUGGGAUUUGAGGAGGAAGAUCAAGAGCUGAGCUUGAACCAAGUUUGAGACGCUUGUUAGACACCCAAGUGGAGAUGCCAGAGAGCCUGCCUUUAGGAAAGCCCUGCCUUCAUCAGUAAAGGGUGAGAAGUCUCCAGCUCUGCAGAACAGCUAACAGAUAAAUAUUUAAUAGGAAAGAGCACUGGGCUGAAAGUCAGGGCAACAUUCUGCCUAGUCAGCAGCCCUCACCUUUGCCCCUGCACCAUCCCCUUUAAACACACCCAUCUGCAGGCUCAACUCAGUCUGACCUCUAGGGCCAGUCCUGUCCACAGCCCAGUGGGUAGAGCCCAAUACUAACUUCCUUUUCUGGCCCCUGCCUUGAAUGCUCUUGCUUUACUCUCUAUAAUGAACCCCAUAUUUCACCUGA